ACAUGAAAACCCAAAUUAGGUGACAGAAAUGAAUAUGAAGGUGAGAUACAUCUGAAAUUGCUCUUUAAAAGAAUCACUUGAAGGUGAAUACCAGGGACAUGUCUGCGACGGUCAUUUCCCUACACAAUGAUCAGUGCUCCGGGAGCAGAUUUGACUACAGGACUGACAGCAAGAAGAGGAAUCUUGCAGCUAUUUUUAUGUUGCCCCGUUUUGACCUCUCUCCUUUUCAAAUACUAGGACAUAAGCACAAUAUUCAGGCUAGUGGCCCGAGGACAAAAGACAGAGAAACUAGCACAAGAUCCCAGGCUUCUCCUUACUUCUGGGUUGAUGUCCAGUGAAUUCUCCUGUCUGUCUGUCUGUCUGGUUGGCUGGCUGGCUGGCUGGCUAGCUGGCUAUCAGUCUGCAGGACAAAACAGAACAGAGUUCCAGGCUGCAGCAGGGUUGGCCUCCAGGCUGUCACAGAGCAACACAUCCUGAGACGGAGGCUACACAUUUGUGAAGGGCUCCAGGACAGACAGACGGGUGGUUUGCAUGGUGCUGCCUCCCUUGCAAAGCCGAAAGCAACCAUGAGGAGACCCCUCGGGCUGGUUUCCAUUCCCAAAGGCCUAAUGUAACACCCCUAUAGGGCCUGUGAUAUGUCUGCCACUACCAAAGGCCAACCCAGCGGUGACAAGGCACUUUAAUAGAUUCGCUGUUGUUCUCUUCCACAGCCCGGCUCCGUAAGCCCUGAUGGGUAAAGGAGAGCAGGAGUGUGAGGUUUACCCUGCUGGUGUGAGGACCAGUCUUCCAGCCCAGACUGACUUCACUAAAUCGAUGACAGACCCAGAAAAGGGCACUGUUCUGUCUCCUGUCACCCAGCUAAAGGAAAACACAGAAAGACUCUCGGGGGAACAGUGGGACAAAGAGCAGUAGGUCUGGAUGCCAGCAACGACUGGGGUUGUUUCCAGAACCUUCAAGCAGCUCUGCUCCAGAGGGUGCUUCUCCUUCAAUGGCUGACCUGUUCCCAGAGGCUGCUGACUGUAGGCCCAGGGUCCUAAGCACUCAUCCCGGGUGCUUCCCAGUAUCGUCAGGCACUUUGUUUUUCUGAAUUGUGGAUUAGGAGUCAAAGCCAUGGGCCUGUCGAUUGGACAGAAGAGGCUUGCGGCACAGGUAAUUGAAGAUGCCUGCGGGAGUUUGAACUGCCCUUCGGGACUUCUGACUUGGGGCUGAAGGGUUGAAACCAUUGCUGCACAUGUUUGUCUUCUGCAUCCGAAGGAUCCCAUUAUCCGGAGCUGUGGUCAGCUCCUCUCCAAGCCUUAGCCAGAGUGACUCACGUGGCUCUUCAGUUACCAGCAACACUCAUGUGGUGGGCUGGCUCACGUCAGCUCUCAGCACACAACUGUGCGUUUUGGGAAACAGAGCAGAAGAUGACAGGCUCCUGGCAUAGACUUUGUCCACACCACAAAUGUGGAUCCUCCCUCAAGAUGGCCACAGCAGGAACGGAGGGAGACAGCAAUGAGCUAGCCCUGCCCAUCAGUCACAGCCGCUGAGGAGAACAAUCCAGAACAUGUGUUCUGCAUUUGGAAGGGACUGAUCCCCACUUUAGGCUACUAUCCUCGCUUUCCCGGGAUCCAGCAGUAAAAUGAUGGAUCUUCAAAUCACACCAGCGAAGCUCUUUGCCUUUCAACUUGCAUAUCCAGUAAUACACCUAAUAGCACAGUUUUAAACAGUGUCAUGGUGUGACUGCAACACACAUUUUUAUUCUGUUUUCCUGCUAAAAUCAGAUAUAUGUGGAAGUACGUGUGGCAAGUAUGUCUAUAUCAGAAUAUAGUGAAGUAGUAUAUAUCUCGCAAUGAGGAAAAAGCCAUGAAAUU
rnacentral:lncRNA from 1 species